AACGGGGGGGGCAGGUGUUAUUCAUCCUGACUGGGCGUAAAGGGCACGUAGGUGAUUUAUUAAGUUUUGAAUAAAAUACUUUAGCUUAACUAAAGAUCUGUUUUUUAAACUGGUAGAUUAGAGUUUAUUUGAAUAAAAUGGUACAUUUAGUGUAGAAGUGAAAUUCGUAGAAAUUCGAUGGACCACCGUCUGGCGAAGGCGAUUUUAUAAUUAUGAACUGACACUAAGGUGCGAAAGCAUAGGGAGCAAACGAG
rnacentral:rRNA from 1 species